rnacentral:rRNA from 1 species
GCGAAGGCGUCAGACUGGAACGCGCCUGACGGUGAGGGACGAAAGCCAGGGGAGCGAACCGGAUUAGAUACCCGGGUAGUCCUGGCCGUAAACGAUGCAUACUGGGUGAUGGCACGGCCAUGAGCCGUGUCAGUGCCGUAGGGAAACCGUUAAGUGUGCCGCCUGGGAAGUACGGUCGCAAGGCUAAAACUUAAAGGAAUUGGCGGGGGAGCACCACAAGGGGUGAAGCCUGCGGUUUAAUUGGACUCAACGCCGGGAAACUUACCAGGGGAGACAGUAGAAUGCAGGUCAGGUUGACGACCUUACCUAACGAGCUGAGAGGAGGUGCAUGGCCGUCGCCAGUUCGUGCUGUGAGGUAUCCUGUUAAGUCAGGCAUCGAACGAGAUCCGCACCUUUAUUUGCCAGCAAGAAGCUACGGCUUCGUUGGGAACACUAAAGGGACCGCCGUCGUUAAGACGGAGGAAGGAGCGGGCAAAGGCAGGUCAGUAUGCCCCGAAACCCCUGGGCUACACGCGGGCUGCAAUGGUAUGAACAAUGGGCUGUGACUCCGAAAGGAGAAACCAAUCCCGAAAUCAUAUCUCAGUUGGGAUUGUUGGCUGUAACCCGCUGACAUGAACGUGG